GACGAACGCUGGCGGCGUGCUUAACACAUGCAAGUCGAACGAAGAGCGAUGGAAGCUUGCUUCUAUCAAUCUUAGUGGCGAACGGGUGAGUAACGCGUAAUCAACCUGCCCUUCAGAGGGGGACAACAGUUGGAAACGACUGCUAAUACCGCAUACGAUCUAACCUCGGCAUCGAGGAAAGAUGAAAGGUGGCCUCUAUGUAUAAGCUAUCACUGAAGGAGGGGAUUGCGUCUGAUUAGCUAGUUGGAGGGGUAACGGCCCACCAAGGCGAUGAUCAGUAGCCGGUCUGAGAGGAUGAACGGCCACAUUGGGACUGAGACACGGCCCAGACUCCUACGGGAGGCAGCAGUGGGGAAUCUUCCGCAAUGGACGAAAGUCUGACGGAGCAACGCCGCGUGAGUGAUGACGGCCUUCGGGUUGUAAAGCUCUGUUAAUCGGGACGAAAGGCCUUCCUGCGAAUAGUGAGAAGGAUUGACGGUACCGGAAUAGAAAGCCACGGCUAACUACGUG
rnacentral:rRNA from 1 species